GGAAAAACUUGAUCGUAUUUCAGGUGUAGCCUUGCAAAUGCAGAGAGAAAGACAAUGGUUCAAGGAGGUUAAGAGUAUUGUAGUUUUACCCUCGGGAGUGGGAGCUUUCAAUAAAGAGGGUAAGGGGCCCCAUGAACUAUUUACCCAGAACCACAAGACAUUGAA